UAUCGGAUGUGUCUGUCCCUGGUUGAGCAACUUCAACGGGAUCCACAGGUUCAAUAAUGUUUACAGAUGGAACGUAAUUUUGUUGUGGUUUCUCUCUUUUUCUUAAGUGAUCCACAUGCUAACGAGUGAUCUGGCCCUCCGCUUCUACAUGGUAUGACAAUGGUCCGGUCACAGAACUCACUUUACCAGAUCUAGAGAUUGAAAUGUGAUAGUCUGAACAUUACUGUAAAUCACUGGGAACCUUACAGAAACUCAACAAUUAAAAGCCCCAAAAAAUAUUUCAAUUGCUGAUAGAUUUCUUCGAAUUUUUGCCAACUGAGGUCUUGGUAAUAAAGAUCUCCUGGUUCAAAAGCAGGAGUUCACUGCACAUCUCCCUCCCUGGAUUGAAUGAUGGCCACAGAGGAUGAGUCCAACAGUGAGUCAGAAGAAGAGCAGAGUGAGGAGAACACUGAGGGUUUGGAGCCAGACCUCGGUAACCUGCAGGGAGGCAAGGACACCUGGAUCCAACACUCCCUCCGCUAGGAUACUAAGGAUCAGCUUCCACCUCACCCCAGGGUGGCCGCCACCAUCCCAUAUGUCUGAAAGGGCCCUUUCAUUUGAACACAAAGAACACUCAGCACCUGUGCAAUAAAGU